UUUGUUAUUAAGUCUCCCAAACAAAGUUUGGAGACUUAUUGUUUUUGCUCAGUUCUUAUUAUUUCUAUUAUUCUUCUUUUUCUUUUUCUUUUUCCGCCACUUUAAAAAAAUGAACUUGUCCGCAGCGUUUCUCCAAAACCACUUGUCAGAUUUACUUAGGAUUUCAUAAAAUGUUAGACUAACAUGUCUAGGUGAGCCAUCAAUAGUUCGUUUGUGCAUUGGGGUCUAUUAAGGGGUAUUUUUGGGGGCUGAAAGAAGGGAGGGGUUUACUAUAGAACCCUAUGGGAUUUUAUUUUCGAAAAUUUUCAAAUGAAUAUAACUUGAAAACUUUAAGUGAUAAACACACAUAGUCUUCGGAAAUGAUCAAGUGACAAUAAAACAAAUCAUCUGAAAUAAAUGGGGAAUCUCUGGGGGGUCAUCCCCACCCCUUUGAAUUUGAGAAUAUGCUAUUAUCUUGUAAACGGUCCAAAUCCCCACCCCUAAACCAUAUAUAUUCUUGAAUGGGACGAUAAAACAAAUUUAAUGAUGUAAAAGAGAAGUCCCUGGGGGUCGCCCCCACCCCGUUCAAUUUGAGAAUGUGCUAUUAUCUUGUAAACGGUCCAGAUCCCCACCCCUAAACCAUAUAUAUUCUUGUAGGGGACAAUAAAACAAAUCGAAUGAAAUUGAAGGGAUGUCCCUGGGGGUCACCCCCACCCCAUUCAAUUUGAGAAUGUGCUAUUAUCUUGUAAACGGUCCAGAUCCCCACCCCUAAACCAUAUAUAUUCUUGUAGGGGACAAUAAAACAAAUCGAAUGUAAUUGAAGGGAUGUCCCUGGGGGUCACCCCCACCCCAUUCAAUUUGAGAAUGUGCUAUUAUCUUGUAAACGGUCCAGAUCCCCACAUCUAAACCAUAUAUAUUCUUGUAGGGGACAAUAAAACUAAUGAAAAGUAAUCAAAAGGAAGUCCCUAGGGGUCACCCCACUCCCUUGUGUUUGAAAACUUGUAAAUGGUCCAUAUCCCCACCCCUAAACCAUGUAUAUUCUUGUAUGGAACAAUAAAACACAUCAACUGAAAUAUAGGGAGAGUCCAUGGGGUUACCCCUACCCCGCUCAAUUUGAGAAUGUUCUAUUAUCUUGUAAACGGUCCAGAUCCCUACCCCUAAACCAUAUAUAUUCUUGUAGGGGACAAUAAAAUAAAUGAAAUGAAAUAAAAGGAAAGUCCCUAGGGGGUCACCCCACCCCCUCUUGUUUGAAAACUUGUAAACGGUCAAGAUCCCCACCCCUAAACCAUAUAUAUUCUUGUAUGGGACAAUUAAACAAGUCAAAUUAAUAUGGGAGCUUUGUUUGGGAGACUUCGUAACAGCAUCCUGUUACAAUUACUUCUUGUUUUUUAUUGU
rnacentral:lncRNA from 1 species